rnacentral:other from 1 species
GUACCCCUGCUCUGCUCGUGGAGGCCUGUUACUUUUGAGCCAACACUCGAAGUGAGGGACCCCUAUCGAGAACAUGGUGAGCAGGUUCGCCGUGGAGCGAAAAGCCUAAAGUGUUCCAUGGGGGGCCCACUUGGUCAAACAGGUUCAAAAGCUGAACUUGACCACGGCAACGGGCGGGGGCCUG